rnacentral:rRNA from 1 species
GGUGAACGCUAGCGGCAGGCUUAAUACAUGCAAGUCGUGGGGCAGCAGGGUUGUAGCAAUACAAUCGCUGGCGACCGGCAAACGGGUGCGUAACACGUACGCAACCUUCCCGUUACUGUGGCAUAGCCCAGGGAAACUUGGAUUAAUACCACAUAUUAUAUUGAGGGGGCAUCCUCUUGAUAUCAAAGCUUCGGCGGUAACGGAUGGGCGUGCGGUUGAUUAGGUAGUUGGCGGGGUAACGGCCCACCAAGCCUACGAUCAAUAGCUGAUGUGAGAGCAUGAUCAGCCACACGGGCACUGAGACACGGGCCCGACUCCUACGGGAGGCAGCAGUAAGGAAUAUUGGGCAAUGGACGAAAGUCUGACCCAGCCAUGCCGCGUGAAGGAUUAAGGUCCUCUGGAUUGUAAACUUCUUUUCUCUGGGGCGAAAACCAGCUAUUCUUAGCUAUUUGACAGUACCAGAGGAAUAAGCACCGGCUAACUCCGUGCCAGCCGCCGCCGUAAGAC